ACACACACACACACACACACACACACACACACACACACACACACACACACACACACAUACACACACACACACACACACACACCGCGUCUGCACUGUGAGGGGAGAGACGUAGCCAGACGCACGACAGAAGUAAUGAGGAAAAGGGAGGAGGAUAAAAUAAGAUAAAGUAGUAGAUGCGAGGGAAGUAAUGAAGGGAGGAAUGGAGUAGAUAAAGAAUGGAGAAUAUGGAUGCGGAUCAGAGCGCCGAUAAAGGGGAAUAAUAAAGAGAAGGAGGAAAAUAAA